GACGAACGCUGGCGGCGUGCCUAAUACAUGCAAGUCGAGCGAACGGACGAGAAGCUUGCUCCUCUGGUGUUAGCGGCGGACGGGUGAGUAACACGUGGAUAACCUACCUAUAAGACGGGGAUAACUUUGGGAAACGGAUGCUAAUACCGGAUAAUAUUUUGAACCACAUGGUUCAAGAGUGAAAGACGGUCUUGCUUUCACUAAAGGAUAUAUCCGGGCUGAAUUGGUUAGUUGGGAGGUAAACGGCUUACAAAGGCAAGGUAGCUUAGCGGACCUAAAGGGGUGUCCGGCCACAUUGGAACUGGGCACGGGUCCAGACUCCUACGGGAGGAAGCGGUAGGGAAUCUUGCGCAAUGGGGGAAAGCCGGCCGGAGCACCGCCGCGUGAGUGAUGAAGGUCUUCGGAUCGUAAACCUCUGUUAUUAGGGAAGAACAUAUGUGUAAGUAACUGUGCACAUAUUGACGGUACCUACUCAGAAAGCCACGGCUAACUACGUG
rnacentral:rRNA from 1 species